rnacentral:rRNA from 1 species
GAUGAACGCUGGCGGCGUGCCUAAUACAUGCAAGUCGAGCGAACAGACGAGGAGCUUGCUCCUCUGACGUUAGCGGCGGACGGGUGAGUAACACGUGGAUAACCUACCUAUAAGACUGGGAUAACUUCGGGAAACCGGAGCUAAUACCGGAUAAUAUAUUGAACCGCAUGGUUCAAUAGUGAAAUACGGUUUUGCUGUCACUUAUAGAUGGAUCCGCGCCGCAUUAGCUAGUUGGUAAGGUAACGGCUUACCAAGGCAACGAUGCGUAGCCGACCUGAGAGGGUGAUCGGCCAAACUGGAACUGAGACACGGUCCAGACUCCUACGGGAGGCAGCAGUAGGGAAUCUUCCGCAAUGGGCGAAAGCCUGACGGAGCAACGCCGCGUGAGUGAUGAAGGUCUUCGGAUCGUAAAACUCUGUUAUUAGGGAAGAACAAAUGUGUAAGUAACUAUGCACGUCUUGACGGUACCUAAUCAGAAAGCCACGGCUAACUACGUG